AGGAGAUCCACAGGAGGAAGUGAUGCCACAGCAGACACACAGAGUGUCCAUCCUGACCCCAACAGUGACAUGUACACAUCUCUGAACAUGAAGACCAGGUCACCAGAGUAUGACACCCUGGCAAAUGUGAGGGAUUCGCAGUGACACAGCCCUCAGAUACAUGCUGAGCCCUCCGAUUACGAGAACUUAAGAGAACCACCACAGAACCUGGACUGAAGAGAACCACCACAGAAUUUGGACUGAAGAGAACCAAAACAGAACCUGGACUGAAGAGCAACAGCAUCAAACCAAAGCUAGGCCUCACAAUGUUAUUCUCUUACUAUCAUAAUGCUUUAUAGUCUAGAAGGUUUGAGACAAUGAGCUUUAACUUCUGAGUAAGAUUGAUUUAGAUUGUUCUCCUAAUGAUAAAUACAGUAUGUGCACUACCAUUCAAAGGGUUGCUGUCACUUAAAA